rnacentral:sRNA from 1 species
GAUAGAGCGACGACGAGCUCGGGCCAGUCGAAUAGUUGAGUGAGGAGACACAACGGUGGAGGCAGAGGCGGCUCAUGAGCUUGAAUCUGGUCUUCCUCUUCCCCAUCGAUCCUGCGGUGAGCCUCUCUGAAGACCUCCAAAUCCCUUUCCUCCUUAGCAGUCAAGGCUGGAGCUGCUGCUGUUCUCUUAAUUGCCAAGAGAAAUGCUCCGAGAACUGAGUUGUUGUGGCUGCUGCAUUGUACUCUCGAUGAUUUUGUAUCUUUAGUUCCUUAGAGCAUCACCAACAAUAUCUGUAUAUGGUUAUCCUGAAAUUUGGAGAUUUUCGUUCAAAAACCCAGUCCAACAGAAUCCCUAGCCAAGCGCCCAAUAGUUCAAAAACCGAAUUUUUCGUUCUCCACAAGUAGGGAGAGGCGCUCGCUCCCAAUCUCCCUCUCUCGUGCCGUCGUGCGAAUUCCCACGCGCACGUGAAGUGUUCUCGACAGGGGGUUCAUCACGAGGUUGUUCGCCGUCGCAUCGAGGUGUCCUACAGGUGCCCACAUCUCACGCGCGCGCCGCUGCCUAGAGCUUUCUCGGCGUCGAUAGUUCCUGCUCUGGCGGCGGCAGCGGCACCAUCUCCACUACAGCCAGGCGAACUUCCAUCGGCCCGAGUUGGUUUCUCCUCAAAUCGGGAUUGGUCUCUCGAUGAUGGAGAUGAGCGAAGGUAUCUGCUAGUGCUUGCUAGUUUUGGCGCUGCUAAUCUGCUACUACGAAUUCUACAGUUGGUACUGAAUAAUGUUGUUGGUGCCGGUGGUGGUGUUGAAAGUUGAUGUUGGUGUUGCUGAUGAUGUGCUGUUGUUGAUGCUACUGACCUGCUGCUAGUUGUGAUCUGCUGCUUGUUGCUUGCCAUGCUAUUGCUAAUUGCCAUGCUGUUGCCGAUCUGAAUUUUUUUUUGAACGACGUUUGCUGAUCUGAGUUGACGCUACUGAUCUGCUAUUGUUGAAAAUGGUACGAUGUUGUUGGUUCUGGUUGGUAAUUAGGGACUUUGCUGAUGCUGCUACUUGUAGUGGUUCUGCUUGAUUGUUUGCAGGAUCAGAUUUGCUGACGUGCUACUGCGUGGAGAGGGGUGACAGGGAGGUGACCACCAAGUGGUUCCCGCGAUCAAUGGUCACACGGGCGAGCGUGAUAAUCUCACAGGAGGGAGAGCCUGAAACAGAUUUCAGUUGGUAGUUUUGUAGAGGGACCACUUUUUAGAUUUAGGGAGUCAAUUUUAGCCAAUCUCUUGGAGGGCUCAAUAUUUUAACACCUUAAAUUUUAUUUAAGAUUCCCAUAAACAAAAUUUUGGGAUACUCUUGGUGAUGCUCUUACUGAGUUAUUCUAGUACAGUACUGAAUUUUAACACCU